AUUGAACGCUGGCGGAAUGCUUUACACAUGCAAGUCGAACGAUGAAGCCUAGCUUGCUAGGUCGAUUAGUGGCGAACGGGUGAGUAAUAUAUCGGAACGUAUCCAAUAAUGGGGGAUAACUAGUCGAAAGAUUGGCUAAUACCGCAUACGUCCUACGGGAGAAAGCUGGGGAUCGUAAGACCUGGCGUUAAUGGAGCGGCCGAUAUCUGAUUAGCUAGUUGGUGAGGUAAAGGCUCACCAAGGCGACGAUCAGUAGCUGGUCUGAGAGGACGACCAGCCACACUGGAACUGAGGCACGGUCCAGACUCCGACGGGAGGCAGCAGUGGGGAAUGUUGGACAAUGGGCGAAAGCCUGAUCCAGCCAUUCCGCGUGAGUGAAGAAGGCCUUCGGGUUGUAAAGCUCUUUCGCAAGGGAAGAACACUUACUUAAUAACACUAAGUGAGGUUGACGGUACCUUGAUAAGAAGCACCGGCUAACUACGUGCCAGCCGCCGCGGUAAAAC
rnacentral:rRNA from 1 species